rnacentral:rRNA from 1 species
AGCGAACGUUUGCGGCGGGCCUAACACAUGCAAGUCGAACGAGAUCUCGGGCUUCGGUCCGGGUGAAAGUGGCGCACGGGUGCGUAACACGUGGGUAAUCAACCCUCUGGAUCGGGACAACCCGGGGAAACUCGGGCUAAUACCGGAUACGUCGUCGGAGCUCUAGGGCUCUGACGGGAAAGGCCUGCAAGGGCUACCAGAGGACGAGCUCGCGGCCCAUCAGCUAGUUGGUGAGGUAAUGGCUCACCAAGGCGAAGACGGGUAGCUGGUCUGAGAGGAUGAUCAGCCACACUGGAACUGAGACACGGUCCAGACUCCUACGGGAGGCAGCAGUGGGGGAAUAUUGCGCAAUGGGCGAAAGCCUGACGCAGCCACGCCGCGUGUGCGAUGAAGGUCUUCGGAUCGUAAAGCACUGUGGGGGAGAAGAAC